ACUGGGCAAACUCAGGGCUCAGUUGCUUCAGGCAGCCAUGAUAUUCACCUCAUGGGGAAUAUCCUCUUUUUUCUGAACAGCUGUACUGAGUCAGGGCUCAGCUCUGGCUUGGCACAUUGCUUGGAUAUUGACCCCGACUUCAUCUGCUUUACUGGGCUGGGGUUGUUUAUGCUGUACUUGUUCUACGUGCUAUUGACUCUCUAUUUGUCACCCGCUGGGAAAAAUAAUGGCAUCCCAAUGCCUCAGGGCAGACGCAGGAGGAGAAAGAAACGUGGGACAUCUAAAGACCAGAUAACCUUCCAGAAAGCAGCAGAAGAGGAAAGGAAGCUGGUUUCUUUUCUGAAAAGUCCUGGCUGCAGCAUCGGGCCUCCUGCUUUCUGCAGUCCCCGUGAUACUGCCUGCUUUCAUCAACUGUUAUGCCCAGAUCCCCUCUGUGAGGGUCUCACUCUGUCGCCCAAACUGUAGUGCAGUGGUGUGAUCUCAGCUCACUGCAACUUCCGUCUUCCAGGCUCAAGUGAUUCUCUUGCCUCAGCCUCCUGAGUAGCUGGAAUUACAGGUACGCCCCUGUAAUUCCAUGCCUGGCUUAUUUUUGUAUAUUUAGUAGAGACAGAGUUUCACCAUGUUGCCCAGGCUGCUCUUCAACUGCUGAUCUCAAAUGAUACUCUUGCCUCGGCCUCCAAAAGUGCUGGGAUUACAGUUGUGAGCCACUGUGCCCGGCUGAUUGGUGACAUUUUUGCAGAGCAGAACGAUCCUUUAUCUGUCUGUGGCAGCCAUGUUGACCAGGCAACCACCUACCUCAUAGGGUAAAACUAAGCUGAGAAUAAAGAAAAAAGUACCUUAGAAUGAAUGAGAAAGUAAGAAGAAGUUACCUUAGAAUGAAUGAGAAAGUAAGAAAAAGGUGAAGAUAGGAAAGGAUGACCCUGCUGGUGGAAAAAGGUUUGUGCCCCAUUCAUGUCCAUAUCAUGACCCUUUCUCAAUCUGGAUCUAGGCACCACCCCCUUGAGGUUUACCAGGGCACUGCAGAGAUUAGAGAUGUGUACAUUUUGCCAGAAGUGUACACGGUUUUAUUUUUCAAUUAUAGUAUAAGCAGGACUGUUUUCAAGCAUGACCUCCCUGUCUUUAAAGAAGAUGAUCUUUAUGCCUUCUCUCCAGCCAUGUUGAUGGCAACAUAGAAGAUCUUCCCUUAGUGUAUAUGGUGCACUUAUCAGGAUGGAGGUGUCACCUAUGAUCUUCAUGGACUUAGUGGAGUAGAAUCGAUAUUGUCUAGAGCAGCCGCAGCUCAUGAUCCAGAGGUUCCUCUGAUGAGAGCCCCACCAGAGAGAAUUUGCCUGUGUUCACACACUGGCUCAAGACUGGAAUCUCUAGAACUUCUAAUAGCACCAGAAGUGAACUUGGGGAGAAAUGAGCCACAGAACCCUUGGGAAAUGCUACCAGCGUAGAAUCUUCCCAGGGGUUUAGGUCUCUGCAGUAAGGAACUCUGUAUAGCCAGAAAUACACAGAGUUUUUUUUUUCUUUCUUUCUUUUUUUUUUUUUGAGACGAAGUUUUGCUCUUAUUGCCCAGGCUGUAGUGCAAUGGCACGGUCUCAGCUCACCACAACUUCCACCUCCUGGGUUCAAGGAAUUCUCCUGCCUCAGCCUCCUGAGUAGCUGGGAUUGAGGGUGCCCACCAACACACCCGGCUAAUUUUGUAUUUUUAAUAGAGAAGAGUUUUCUCUAUGUUGGUCAGGCUGGUCUCGAACUCCUGACCUCAGGUUAUCUGCCCACCUUGGCCUCCCAAAGUGCUGGGAUUACAGGGAUGAGCCACUGUGCCCGGCCCAGAAAUAUGCUUUAAGCAUCCACUCUGCUCAGACUUGAGCAUGAUGCCUGGCCCAUAGAGGUGCCCAGUCAGUAUAGCUGAAUUGAAGUGAGUUCUGUUGAGCUAGAGUGGAUGAGAUAAUAAGAGGUAGAAAAAGGGAUGCUCUCUUCUUUCAUUUUCAGGUAGUCUAACAACGACAAAAAUAAUAACAUCUAGGAAGUGUUUACUAUGGUUUCAAGCAUUUUAUAUGUAUUUAAAAAAUUCAUACGACAUUCCCAUAAAGUAGGUAUUUUUAAUAUUUACAUUUUAGAUCAGAAAGCUAAAGUUAAAUCAUUUUCCCAAGGUCAUAAAACUAGCAAGCAGGCUGAGCACGGUGGCUCAUGUCUGUCUUCCAGCAUUUUGGGAGGCCAAGGCGGGAGGAUUGCUUGAACCUAGGAGUUUGAGACCAGCCUGGGCAACAUAGUGAAACCCUGUCUCUACAGAAAUAAAAUUUACAAAAUUAGCCAGGUGUAGUGGUCACACUUGUAGGCCUAGCUACUAGGGAGGCAGAGGUGGGAGAAUCGCCUAAGCCUGGGAGGUCAAGGCUGCCGUGAUCACACCACUGGACUCUAGCCUGGGUGACAGAACGAGACGCUGUCUCAAAAACAAAUAAAAUGAAAAACUAGCAUGCAGUAGAAUUGGAGCCCCAACAGGCUGACUCUAGAGCCAUUCACUAUUCCACUGUCUUUCAAAUGGAGUAUUAAGGGCUCGAGUUUUCUAUGAGAGGUAGUAUAUCUAUAUAGCAUUCCACAGAAAUGUUACGAUGGAGUUUGUACUCUAAUAAACAUGUAUGUAUUUAUAGAAGAUGUUGUUUGUACUGUUAAAUCAGAUGUAUGUAUACCAUAUAUUUAUAUCUAUAUUUAUUUCUAUGAACUAAU